rnacentral:sRNA from 1 species
CCGCAUCUCUGCGCAGCUUUGCAUGGAGUUAAUGUGCGAAGAAGUUGACACGAUCUGAUAUUGUCAGUGACUUAACUCUUCACCUACGACGCUUAAAACUAUGGCCAAACAGGACAUGCCCUAAACAUGGAAUAUGCCUUCGAGAUAUCCUGUUCUUUAACUUGACUAUUAUCCGAAUUACAUGUAACUAUUUGAGUUGACGGUCGUAACUGAGGAAACUCGUGGAAGGCAUACAUACUCUCGACAAGCCCAAUUCCUUCCUCCCAUCUCCACUUUUGAAGUGGAAAAGAUGCGGGAGAAAUAUCACAGCCCUUCUCCCUCAACCAGCCUCUCCGGCAGCUAGCUAUGCUGAUUGAGAAAGAAACCAAAUCCAAUAUCCAAAAAUGGAAACACU